CCUACGGGGGGCAGCAGUGGGGAAUAUUGCACAAUGGGCGAAAGCCUGAUGCAGCAACGCCGCGUGAGCGAUGAAGGCCUUCCGGUCGUAAAGCUCUGUCCUCAAGGAAGAUAAUGACGGUACUUGAGGAGGAAGCCCCGGACAACUAGGUGCCAGCAGCCGGUGUAAUACGUAGGGGGCUAGGUUUAUACGGAAUUACUGGGCGUAAAGGGGGCGUAGGUGGUUUCUUAAGUCAGAGGUGAAAGGCUACGGCUAAACCGUAGCAAGCCUUUGAAACUGGGGAACUUGAGUGCAGGAGAGGAGAGCGGAAUUCCUAGUGUAGCGGUGAAAUGCGUAGAUAUUACGAGGAACACCAGUUGCGAAGGCGGCUUUCUGGACUGUAACUGACACUGAGGCACGAAAGCGUGGGGAGCGAACAGGAUUAGAUACCCCAGUAGUC
rnacentral:rRNA from 1 species